AAAAGAUAGAAAACAUUUCCUAGCCUCCCUUGCAGAUUGAUAUGACCAUGUUACUGUUUUUUAGGGAAAUGGAAUUGAAGACAACUACUUCUAGAAUUGGUGCAUGGAAGCUUCUCAUAGGUGAUUAGCCACACUCUUCUUCUGUCAACCUGGUGCAGAAAAGCUUGAAGACCUCGGAAAUCACAUAUUGAUGAUGGAGGAGAUACAAGAAUGAAGGACCCUGGGUUCCUGAAUCAACACUCUAAGAAGAGACUCCUUGAAAUCAAGAGCGCUCAUCUUGACAUUGCAAACGGAAAAAUUCACUUCUAUCAGGGGACUGAUCAGAGUCAAACCAUAUGCUGUGGCUUUUGCUCCAUGGAAAUCUCAACUAUACUGCAAGAAUAAUUAUUCCUACUUAAUGAAGUUACAGAAGAGAAUGUGGUGCUGGACGGUACUGACUGCAUGGGGAGAGGCCAUACCACAGAAACCUCAAUCUGCCUGAGCCGUGACUCUGAGAGCUGGAGUACCACUGGACAGGGUGAGGGGAGCUUUUGCUUGUUUACUCAGAAAUAUUUUCUAAAUUACCUGUUUGUGUUAUUUAGGAGGGAAGGAUUGGGGAAUGCCACUUUGACCUGAUUUUUACAGAAUAAACUCCUUGCGUAGC
rnacentral:lncRNA from 1 species